rnacentral:tRNA from 3 species
GCUGGUGUAGCUCAGUUGGUAGAGCAGCUGACUUGUAAUCAGCCGGUCGGGGGUUCAACUCCUCUCACCAGCUCCA